rnacentral:rRNA from 1 species
AUUGAACGCUGGCGGCAUGCCUUACACAUGCAAGUCGAACGGCAGCACGGGAGCAAUCCUGGUGGCGAGUGGCGAACGGGUGAGUAAUAUAUCGGAACGUGCCCGGUCGUGGGGAUAACGUAGCGAAAGCUACGCUAAUACCGCAUACGAUCUACGGAUGAAAGCGGGGGAUCGCAAGACCUCGCGCGAUUGGAGCGGCCGAUAUCAGAUUAGAUAGUUGGUGAGGUAAAGGCUCACCAAGCCGACGAUCUGUAGCUGGUCUGAGAGGACGACCAGCCACACUGGGACUGAGACACGGCCCCAGACUCCUACGGGAGGCAGCAGUGGGGAAUUUUGGACAAUGGGCGCAAGCCUGAUCCAGCAAUGCCGCGUGCAGGAUGAAGGCC